rnacentral:rRNA from 1 species
UGUCCUACGGGGGGCAGCAGUAGGGAAUCUUCGGCAAUGGGCGAAAGCUUGACCGAGCAACGCCGCGUGAAUGAAGAAGGCCUUCGGGUUGUAAAAUUCUGUUACAAGGGAAGAAAGGUGAUAGGAGGAAAUGACUAUCAAUUGACGGUACCUUAUGAGAAAGUCACGGCUAACUACGUGCCAGCAGCCGCGGUAAUACGUAGGUGGCAAGCGUUGUCCGGAUUUAUUGGGCGUAAAGCGAGUGCAGGCGGUUCAAUAAGUCUGUUGUGAAAGCCUUCUGCUCAACCGGAGAAUUGCA